rnacentral:rRNA from 1 species
GGCGGGACCGGAGAAAUCCUGCCUGAAUCUGCCAGCACCAUCUGGUAAGGCUAAAUACUCCUCAGACACCGAUAGUGAACCAGUACCGUAAGGGAAAGGUGAAAAGCACCCUAAACAAGGGAGUGAAAUAGUACCUGAAACCGUGCGCCUACAAGCGGUCGGAGCUUCGCAAGAAGUGACGGCGUGCCUUUUGCAUAAUGAGCCUACGAGUUGCUCCUCACUGGCGAGGUUAAGUUUAUAACUAACGGAGCCGUAGCGAAAGCGAGUCCAAACAGGGCGCUUAGUCAGUGGGGGCAGACGCGAAACUUUGUGAUCUAUCCAUGGGCAGGUUGAAGGUUGGGUAAAACCAACUGGAGGACCGAACCCGUUGACGUUGAAAAGUCUUGGGAUGACCUGUGGAUAGGGGUGAAAGGCCAAUCAAACUGAGAGAUAGCUCGUUCUCCCCGAAAUGUUUUUAGGAACAGCCUCGUAUUUAGAAGUCUGUUAGAGGUAGAGCUACUGAUUGGGCUAGGGGGCUUCACCGCCUACCAAACCCUGACAAACUCCGAAUGCUAACAGAUAUCUGCGGGAGUGAGGCUGCGGGUGCUAAGAUCCGUGGCCGAGAGGGAAAUAACCCAGAAUAGCAGCUAAGGUCCCUAAUAAGUAGUUAAGUUGAUCAAACGAGGUGAGACUUCUAUAACAGCCAGGAUGUUUGCUUGGAAGCAGCAAUUCAUUUAAAGAGUGCGUAACAGCUCACUGGUCGAGAGGUCUUGCACGGAAAAUAAUCGGGCAUCAAACUACUAACCGAAGCUCUAUGAUUGCACUUUGAGUGUAUAUCGGUAGGGGAGCAUUCUGACAGCAUCGAAGGUGUACGGUGACGUAUGCUGGAGCGGUCAGAAAAGAAAAUGUAGGCAUAAGUAACGAUAAAUAAGGUGAAAAACCUUAUCGCCGAAAGUCUAAGGGUUCCUGAUCAACGUUAAUCGGAUCAGGGUUAGCCCGGUCCUUAGUCAAACCCGAAAGGGGUAGAUGAUGGAAAGCAGGUUAAUAUUCCUGCGCCUGCUAUGCGAUGAAAGUGACGGAGAAAGGGAGGUAUAUAUCCAGACGGAAUUGGAGAGUGGAUCCUUCGGGUGAAGCGUAAUACUGAAAUUUCUUCCAAGAAAAGCGAGUAUAGCAGCCGGUACCGCAAACCGACACAGGUAGACGGGAUGAGUAUUCUAAGGCGCUCGGGUGAGCCGUGGAGAAGGAACUAGGCAAAUUGAUGCUGUAACUUCGGGAUAAAGCAUACCAUCUUCGGAUGGUCUCAGUAAAAUGGUUCAACCAACUGUUUAACAAAAACACAGGGCCCUGCAAAAUCGUAAGAUGACGUAUAGAGCCUGAUACCUGCCCGGUGCUGGAAGGUUAAGGAAGGGUGUUCGGCGCAAGCCAAAGCUCCUGACUGAAGCCCCAGUAAACGGCGGCCGUAACUAUAACGGUCC